UCCUCAGUAGCUCAGUGAUAGAGCGGUCGGCUGUUAAUGGUCGUAGGUUCAAAUCCUACUUGGGGAG
rfam:Cucumis melo, WGS project CAJI01000000 data, contig: 15735